UUACCCACUCCCGGCACGGGGAGGUAGUGACGAAAAAUAACGAUACGGGACUCAUCCGAGGCCCCGUAAUCGGAAUGAGUACACUCUAAACCCUUUAACNNGGAUCAAUUGGAGGGCCAGUCUGGUGCCAGCAGCCGCGGUAAUUCCAGCUCCAAUAGCGUAUAUUAAAGUUGUUGCGGUUAAAAAGCUCGUAGUCGAAUUUGUGUCUCGUGCCGCUGGUUCAUCGUCCGCGGUGUUAACUGGCGAGUCGCGAGACNUCCUGCCGGUGGGCUUAGCUCGCAAGGGCGGCCCAACUCAAUCCUGCCGCGGUGCUCUUCAUUGAGUGUCGAGGUGGGCCGGCACGUUUACUUUGAACAAAUUAGAGUGCUUAAAGCAGGCUAAAACUUCGCCUGAAUACUGUGUGCAUGGAAUAAUGGAAUAGGACCUCGGUUCUAUUUUGUUNGUUUUCGGAACCCCGAGGUAAUGAUUAGUAGGAACGGAUGGGGGCAUUCGUAUUGGGACGUUAGAGGUGAAAUUCUUGGAUCGUCGCAAGANNNACAGAAGCGAAAGCAUUUGCCAAAAACGCUUUCAUUGAUCAAGAACGAAAGUUAAAGGUUCGAAGGCGAUCAGAUACCGCCCUAGUUUUAACUGUAAACUAUGCCAGCUAGCGAUCCGUCGACGUUCCUCCGAUGACUCGACGGGCAGCUUCCGGGAAACCAAAGCUUUUGGGUUCCGGGGGAAGUAUGGUUGCAAAGCUGAAACUUAAAGGAAUUGACGGAAGGGCACCACCAGGAGUGGAGCCUGCGGCUUAAUUUGACUCAACACGGGAAACCUCACCAGGCCCGGACACCGGAAGGAUUGACAGAUUGAGAGCUCUUUCUUGAUUCGGUGGGUGGUGGUGCAUGGCCGUUCUUAGUUGGUGGAGCGAUUUGUCUGGUUAAUUCCGAUAACGAACGAGACUCUAGCCUGCUAACUAGGCGUAUUUUGACAUCCUAAAGGCCCGCCGGCUUGGGG
rnacentral:rRNA from 1 species